GACUGUUGUGAUUGUAAAUUCAAAACAAGUGUUGUUCGACUUCGGUAAUCUACUGAGAUAAAUGCCAUCCUUAACUUUUAGUGAGGAACACAUAACUGGAGCAGAAAUAAACAGGCGAUAGCUUCAAAACAGUAUUUUCCUCUUUGCAGCAAUUUCAGAUGUGUUGUUAUUAGCCAAUGAGGUGUUUCUGGUUAUUUAAAUUUUACUACUUUUAAAAAUAAUAUUAGAAGAUUUUUAUGAUGUCAACUCCAACAGAGGAUGAAAACACUAUAGAUUUUAGUUUAUUUGAUCUAGUCAAUAAAGAUUUAAAAAUGAAGAAGCUUCUCAGUCUACUUCUAGGAGUUGUGAAGUAAAAGGAUAUUACGAUCCUUCUGUCAGCGCCAUAUUUCUUCAAGCAACUGGCAUAUCUGAUACAAGUGUUUUAGUUCGUAAAUGUAAAGAGUUAGGAACAGAGUUGGAAACAAAGGUAAAAAUCAAAAUUUGUGUUUUAAUUUACUUCACUUGUUUUAUUUUCACUCACUUGGUUUAUUGAUAACUAAGCAUAUAUUUUAAUUACUUUUCGGGGUUUUUUCCCAACCCUUUUAAAUAUUGACUAAGUUGUUCUCAGUGAUAAAUUGUCAGGAUUUGCUGUCAUCGAUUGCACAGCUCUAGUGUGACCUUAAUAAUCAACCUUAAUUAGGAUAGAUUUAGUAGAAAUAUUUCGUCUAAUAUUAAUACCAAGGCAGUAAGAGAAUUAAAAAAAGAUAACUUAUCAACAUUUUUAUUU